CCUAACACAUGCAAGUCGAACGGUAACAGGAAACAGCUUGCUGUUUCGCUGACGAGUGGCGGACGGGUGAGUAAUGUCUGGGAAACUGCCUGAUGGAGGGGGAUAACUACUGGAAACGGUAGCUAAUACCGCAUAACGUCGCAAGACCAAAGAGGGGGACCUUCGGGCCUCUUGCCAUCAGAUGUGCCCAGAUGGGAUUAGCUAGUAGGUGGGGUAACGGCUCACCUAGGCGACGAUCCCUAGCUGGUCUGAGAGGAUGACCAGCCACACUGGAACUGAGACACGGUCCAGACUCCUACGGGAGGCAGCAGUGGGGAAUAUUGCACAAUGGGCGCAAGCCUGAUGCAGCCAUGCCGCGUGUAUGAAGAAGGCCUUCGGGUUGUAAAGUACUUUCAGCGGGGAGGAAGGGAGUAAAGUUAAUACCUUUGCUCAUUGACGUUACCCGCAGAAGAAGCACCGGCUAACUCCGUGCCAGCAGCCGCGGUAAUACGUUCCCGGGCCUUGUACACACC
rnacentral:rRNA from 1 species